GAGAAUGAGUCCCAAGAGUUCUUAGAGGUGAAUGAACAUAGGUGUGGUUGGAGUGUAUAGACGUAAGAAAAAAUGACUAGCAAGUUAGUAAUGUUUGAGAGCUGUUAUGGAAUUUGAUCGUGAGAGUUGCAUUAUUGAGUUUUUGGAGUUUUGUAUAAGCCAGGUGAUGAGUGUAAGACCCGUGACUGUUUAAAUUAGGAAGAGAGUAGAAGGUGUUCGAAGACCCUAUUGCAGAUGCAGAGAGAAAAGGAAAGUCUGUUGGUGUAUUGAAAGUUGGAGUACAUGUGGUAGUUAGAAAUGAUGAAGGUAAUGAAAUAGUGAUGUUCUGGUUUUCGAAAGAAUGGAGUAACUGAUUGUGUAUGGUUUGAAGACGAGUUAAAGACCUGAGUGAGGUGAAGUUGAUGUUACAUUUUGUAAAGGUGAAAAUGUAGAUGAUGAAGGUGAAACUUGAUGAUGGUAAUGGUGAGUGGCUCUCUGGAGUGUGAUUGUGUUAGUAUUAAAAUUUGUAGAAGCAAUAAAGAGCCCAAUUGUGGAGAGGUUGUUAGCUAUUGUGAAGUGAAAACCAGUGAAGUAUAGUAUACAAGGAGACACUUGAGCGACCCUUGGUUAUUGAUAAGAAUGUUAAGAAGGUUUACAUUGUGUCUGGUUGUUUUGUUUGUUGUGGGUUAGUGUAAAAGUGUUUAUCCUUUGAGAUGUGUUAUGGAGGUAGAAAGGUGUAGGAACUACAGUCCCUUAAUAUUUGGAAUACGAGAGGAAAUGAUAUAGUGGAGACAUGUAACGUGUGAGAGAGUGUGUACGAAGUAGCAGGUAUGUGUGUGAUGUGUAGGUUUAUGAAAUUAGAGUAUUGUGGUAAUCAGAAAUGAUGAAGGUAAUGAAGUAGUGAUGUUCUGGUUUCCGAAAGAAUGGAGUAACCGAUGGUAUAUGGUUUGAAGUAGAGUUAAAAACGUGAGUGAGGUGAAGUUGAGGUUAAAUUUUGUAAAGGUGGUAUAAUACGAGGUUGAAGAAUGGUGCAGAGAAGAUAAAAUACGGUUGUGUCAGUGUGGAGGUUAAUAUUUAAAUGAGGAAAUAAAAGGGUACCCCACAGAAAAUGUAAAAAAUUAGGAAGGAGGUGUGGUAGUGAAGAGGUGUGAUGAAGUGAAGGUGAAUUACUGACAAAUAGAGUUUCGUGGUGAAUGGUUUGUGAACUAAUGUUGUCCCUGUACAUCCUGCCUACAAGAUUUCGAGUUUGGAAAGUAAGUGAUAUGGUGAUAUAGUAGUGUGCGACUUGAUGAAACGGUAAUCCAAAGAAGUGAAUAUGUAUUGUCCCAAAGAGUAAAAUAUCGUUUGAAAUUGGUAGAGAUAUGUAUGAAUAGAAGACUAAUCGAAUAAUAAUUCACUUUGAUGAGGUAGGGAGGAUGAGAGAAUUUAGAGCGAGUAUAGAAAGGAAAAAAGAUUGAAAAUGGAUGUUGGUUUGAUUGUUAUGAAAGAUAUUUUGUUCCCCCUGUAGAUUGAUCCCCUAAAAUUUAGGAUAGUUGAUAAGGGUUUAUAGGUUUAUUCUCAAAAUAUUUGGAAUAUAGGUGAUGUGUAUGAGCUGGAAACACUGAAAAGAAAGUAUUCUGUGAGAAGGAGUGUAAAGUGUAUGAGGUGGAGAUUCCCAUUGCCCAGGCAAUUCUUAAUCCUUGGAUGCCCUUUGUGUGAGCUGGUAGCAUGUUGGAGGUAAGAAUAUAAAUGAAGGAGUAGGUAUUGGUGCAGUUGACACGCUAUGUAUGGCAGAGUAGGAGGAGACCUGAGUUGAGCAGAAAUGUGGAUGAUUUAUAAUAAUUGUUUGCGACUUAAUCGUAGGUGCCCUGUGAAAAGAGGGAAGUCUGACUGAAGGUAGUAUAUCCAAGAGUAGAGUGAGUGAUGCUGUGUUGAUAAAGGCAAUGUGGGUAAAAUGUUUAAAAGAGAGAUUGGAAGAAGGCAUAGGUUGAAGUAAAGUGAGAAUGAGUCCCAAGAGUUCUUAGAGGUCAAUGAACAUAGGUGUGGUUGGAGUGUAUAGACGUAAGAAACAAUGACUAGCAAGUUAGUAAUGUUUGAGAGCUGUUAUGGAAUUUGAUCGUGAGAGUUGCAUUAUUGAGUUUUUGGAGUUUUGUGUAAGCCAGGUGAUGAGUGUAAGACCCGUGACUGUUUAAAUUAGGAAGAGAGUAGAAGGUUUUCAAAGACCCUAUUGCAGAUGUAGAGUGAAAAGGAAAGUCUGUUGGUGUAUUGAAAGUUGGAGUACAUGUAAGGUGUACAGAAAGUGUAAUUGAUGGCCCUUCCCAUUGAGGUACAGAUGCUGAUUGUUGUUUGGAUCGAGAAUCUCCCACGUAAAUCCAACAUUAUAGGAAUUAUGUUAAUUUACGAUGUGUGUCGAAAUGAUGGAGAUACCUGAUGUGAGGUGAAAUGUAGGAUGGAGGUGUGUGUGUGUGUGAGGACGUGGCCCUUUCCCAAGUCAUAGAAUUAAUUAUUUCAGUUAGGUGUGGUGGAGAAUAAUGAUAGUGAGGAAGUAUUUAUGUGUGACAGGAUCAGAAGUUUUAUUGGUACCCGUAUUUGGCAAAUGAGUUGUGCUGAUGUUGAGAACAGGAAAUAUUGAAAAUGUAGAUGAUGAAGGUGAAACUUGAUGUUGGUAAUGGUGAGUGGCUUUCUGGUGUGAUGUGUUAGUAUUAAAAUUUGUGGAAGUUUUAGAGUCCAAUUGUGGAAAGGUUGUUAGCUAUUGUGAAGUGAAGUACAGUGAAGUGUAGUAAAUAAAGAGACACUUGAACGACCCUUGGUUAUUGAUAAGAUUGUAAAUAAGGUUUAUAUUGUGUGUGGAAGUUUUGUUUGUUGUGGGUUAGCGUAAAAGAAUUUAUCCUUUGAGAUGUGUUAUGGAGGUAGAAAAAUGUAGGAAGUACAGUCCCUUAAUAUUUAGAAUACGAGAGGAAAUGAUAUAGUGGAGACAUGUAACGUGUGAGAGAGUGUGUACGAAGUAGCUGGUAUGUGCGUGAUGUGUAGGUUUAUGAAAUUGGAGUAUUGUGGUAAUUAGUAAUGAUGUAGGUAAUGAAGUAGUGAUGUUCUGGUUUUCGAAAGAAUGGAGUAAGGCAUGGUGUAUGGUUUGAAGUAGAGUUAAAAACCUGAGUGAGGUGAAGGUAAGGUUAAAUUUUGUAAAGGUGGUAUAAUACGCGGUUGAAAAAUGG